UACGUAGGGAGCAAGCGUUGUUCGGAUUUACUGGGCGUAAAGGGCGCGUAGGCGGCAAAUUAAGUCAGCUGUGAAAUCUCCGAGCCUAACUCGGAACGGUCAGCUGAUACUGAUCUGCUAGAGUGCGGAAGGGGCAAUCGGAAUUCUUGGUGUAGCGGUGAAAUGCGUAGAUAUCAAGAGGAACACCUGAGGUGAAGACGGGUUGCUGGGCCGACACUGACGCUGAGUGCGCGAAAGCCAGGGGAGCAAACGGG
rnacentral:rRNA from 1 species